CUUUGUAAUCUUCCACAGCUUUCUUGAACUGCAUCUGUGAGAUACAUUAGUACCCUCUGUAUGGAUUUUUACUUGCAUGAGUUUGCAGUUCAAUAAAGCUGUGGGAAAUUACAGAGA
rnacentral:pre_miRNA from 1 species